GGAGAGGUUUCCCCCUUUGAUGUUACAUAAAUAUAAGCUUCAUGGUUAAUUUCUCUAGGAUAUAACAUGAAACAUUGUAUGCAGAAGUUUAUUUAUUGUAAUUUUUUUUCAUUUUUCAUUAUAUUUUAAAGAAAUUUUUGUGUUUAUACAUGUAUAUUAUUAUUCAGAGUUAAAACUUGAUUUUUUUUUUCAUGUAUUCAGUUUUUUUUCUUUGUUAAGAAAACUUGUGCAAGUUGAUGUUUUAGUAGUUUCAAGGUUACAAGAUGCAUAUCUUAAAACACUUUGUGAGAUUGUUGUCAAAAAUACUCUAGGAGAGAAAUAAUGUGUUGUAUAGAACGGCCUGGAUUCUUAGAAGAAGGCUUCAAAACAAAAAACAUUACACAAAACUUCUUGUGAAAAGAAUAAUGAUUUGUUUUACAUGUAUGUGAUUUGCGAAAUCCAAAGUAAAAAUUUAAAACUGUU
rnacentral:sRNA from 1 species